GGAAUAUUGCACAAUGGGCGAAAGCCUGAUGCAGCAACGCCGCGUGAAGGAAGAAGGCCUUCGGGUCGUAAACUUCUGUCCUUGGGGAAGAAGAACUGACGGUACCCAAGGAGGAAGCCCCGGCUAACUACGUGCCAGCAGCCGCGGUAAUACGUAGGGGGCAAGCGUUAUCCGGAAUUACUGGGUGUAAAGGGAGCGUAGACGGUGAUGUAAGUCUGGAGUGAAAGGCGGGGGCCCAACCCCCGGACUGCUCUGGAAACUAUGUGACUGGAGUGCAGGAGAGGUGAGCGGAAUUCCUAGUGUAGCGGUGAAAUGCGUAGAUAUUAGGAGGAACACCAGUGGCGAAGGCGGCUCACUGGACUGUAACUGACGUUGAGGCUCGAAAGCGUGGGGAGCAAACAG
rnacentral:rRNA from 1 species